rnacentral:tRNA from 1 species
GCACGUGAGAAGGCGGGUCUUACCUCGUUCGCAUCGAGGGGGUCAGGGGUUCGAAUCCCCUCAGCCCCA